rnacentral:lncRNA from 1 species
CACGAAAUAAACACUGGCUGGGCAAAGCUAAGCUAAGCAUUUUUUGCAAGGACAGCUCCAAGACAGGAAUCCCAGCCCUGGCACUCCCUCAGGGUCCCCUGAGUAGACACAGCAGAUCUGAAACUGCCUGUCACCCUCCUGCUACAUACUUUAAGUCUGCUAUCAAAGACACUGUCUUCAUGAGGCUGCUGUGAGACAGGCAAAUAUUUUAGAAUGUAUUUUCAAAAAGACUCGUGGAAAAAUAAAAAAGAGGGAGCAGGGCAGUGCGUUCUUUCCAAAACCCAUUGGAAAAGAGCUGCCAAGGCAGGAGAGGCCGGUCUGAGGCUCCCUCACUCCUGGUCGCCGUUGCACCUCAGUGUCUGCCUGCUAAUGGAUGUGCUGUUUGAAUAUGGGAAAGAAGAGGACCGAUUCUGGGAUUUUAAGACAAACCAGAGGUUCUAGGGUUGGCUGUGAAGGAGCAGAGAAAGGGGUUUUGUUGUUGCCUGAGUGUCAGGCAGCUUCGGAGAAGGACUUCUGGGAGUGGGAGAAGAAUGUGAAUGUUCAUCAGGAGUGAGUGCUCUGGAGUGUGGGGCCUCCUGAGGAAACAAGGAUGCUGAAGGGAUUCUUGACCGUGUGGGUCCUGGCUAGGAUAGCUGCUGGUAGAACAGGCACAGAACAAGACCAGUGUGAAUAAAUCCACACUCUCAAAUGGGUCCUCCUUAGCCACCUUCCAGUCUAGCAGGGUAGAUAUGGAGACACAAAACCAGCUUACCUCUUAAUUUUCCCUGUCCUGUCCUGCUUGGCCUGGGGCUUUAUUUUGUAAUUGUUUCCUCUGAAAUUGAAACAUUUCAUCUGGGAGGCUCCUUUAGUAGGAAGAAAAGCAACUUGAAAUAGUUUCAGGAAGUCCCUGAAACCGACCAGAUUCACUAGGCCCCUCCCUCCUUCUUAAAGGAAGUGAAGCUAAGCUGCAAAGGCUUUGAGACCAGCCUACUGCCUGAAAGAAGCAGAAACCAGCAGUGGGUACCUGGAAAAUGUUUAGACCAACAGGGGCACCUGGAAGGACAAUUUCCAACAUGUUGAGUCACCUGCAGGCUGUGCAGUAUUCUCCAGGUUCCCAGCUUUGUGAGCUGUCAUCCAUGCUGGGGUGGGCUUUGAU